rnacentral:rRNA from 1 species
GACGAACGCUGGCGGCGUGCCUAAUACAUGCAAGUCGAGCGAAGCGGCGGAUGGGUGGGUAACGCGUGGUUAACCUGCCCUUAAGUCUGGGAUACCAUCUGGAAACAGAUGCUAAUACCGGAUACUAAACGAUGGAAGUGCGUUGUAUUAGCUAGUUGGUAAGGUAACGGCUUACCAAGGCGAUGAUGCAUAGCCUGGUUGAGAGGUGGAUCGGCCACAUUGGGACUGAGACACGGCCCAAACUCCUACGGGAGGCAGCAGUAGGGAAUCUUCCACAAUGGACGAAAGUCUGAUGGAGCAACGCCGCGUGAGUGAAGAAGGUUUUCGGAUCGUAAAGCUCUGUUGUUGGUGAAGCGGUAAUCAACCAGAAAGUCACGGCUAACUACGUGCCAGCAGCCGCGGUAAUUC